rnacentral:misc_RNA from 1 species
UCUGACAAAGAUCUUCACUUUUCUAUCAUCGGAAUUUUGUUUUCAUAGUUAAAAUUCAUAACCUAUUACCCACGAUUAAUUAUGAUUAAGCUUGUUUCUUACUAAUAUUUAAAGGUUUUUAGGGAAUUCUAAAGUUUCUAAAACCAUUUUCAAUUCUACUCAAUUUCAUCUAAUUCUGUAUCCGUUAUUAUCGUUACAUGCUAAGUAAGGUCAAGGAUCCCAACUGAAGGCUUUGUUUACUAUUGAUUUAGAACUACAUUAAUUUUGAUUGAAGAAUAUUAGUUCUUAACCAGAAAUGGAUUCUCUGAAGGUUUCAACAGUUGAUGAUGAUGAAGAUGAGGACGGUUUGGAUCCUAGAAUUCAGAUUGAGUUGGAGAAACUCAAUAGUGCAACCGACGUGAUAAAUAAAUUGGAAAUGCAGCUAGAUGAAGCCAACACAACGUUCAGAAUGUUGAUGACCGACUCGACAAGGCGACUCAAGGCUGCCUCGAGCAAGCUCGGCGCAAGUAUAGUGCGGGCGAGGCCCUACUACGAGGCACUCGAAUUGUCCAAGCAUGCCCAGCAGGAGUGCCAACGUGCCGCUGUCAAAUUCCAACGUGCUAACGAAAUUCACCAAGCUGCCAAGGAGACAGUGGCUCUAGCAGAGGCCAGAUUCCUGAGUAAACAACACGAGUGGCAAUUCGACAAUGCCUGGCAAGAGAUGCUCAACCAUGCAACCAUAAAGGUAACUGAAGCCGAGAAUCAGAAAUCAGAAAGUGGCAGAGAACAUCAAAAACGUGCGCUAUUGUUCAACGCUGCAGAACAAAAGGUUCAGUUGUUAGAACAGCGCCUGAAACGCAGUAUCAGCAAAUCGCGGCCCUACUUCGAGGAGAAGGCCUUGCUUCAGUCACGGCUGGACGCACAGAAGGCCUGCAUCGGCCAAUUGGAGAAGGCCGUGCAAACUGCCAAGGCCGACUAUGCGGCCUCGCUACACAGCCUCGAACAGAUAUCUGAGGAGAUACAUCGACGCCGCAGCGAUAAGUCGGGAACUGCCACUCCAAGAGGCCCCAGAGAACCAGGGGUGGGCGCUGAAUUGGAACCAGUUAAUUUGGAACUUCCAAGAACCUUGCCAGUCAUGGAGUCAUACAAAUACGACAGUAGUCAGCAGGCGUGUGCGAAGGACACCCUAAGUCUGGACUUUGACCUAGACAGCUGUGAUGUGAGGAGUGUGGACAGUGUCUCUAGAGCAACAUCCUCAGCUGUCUCCGAAGCUGACGACUUGGAAAAUGAUCCUCUUGAAGAGGACCUGGAAGAACUGAAACAGCGAGUGAGAGAGUUGGCCGUGCGGGACAACGUGAGCCGCUCGAGUGAGAACGUGUCAUGGGAGAACGAGUUGACGGCGACCAUAGACAAGCUGGACAAUGCGCUGCUGAUGCGGGAGUGCGAGCUGGAGCUGAGGGAGUCGUGCGGGGUUGGCAGUGUGGGUGCCAUGUCUGGUGAUGCGGGGUUCUUCAGUGGGGCCUCCAGUGGGGUGGACAGCAUGGGUGGGCUCUGUGAUGGGGGAAGUCAAGGCAGUGAUGGCAAGGGCUGCAGUGAUGUUGGGAACCAAGGGAUUGAUGACAGGAAGACCAAAGAUGUUGGCAACCAAGGGUUUGAUGUUGGGAAUCAAAGGGUUGAUGUUGGGAAUCAAAGGGUUGAUGUUGGGAAUCAAAUGGUUGAUGUUGGGAAUCAAAUAGUUGAUGUUGGGAACCAAUGGGUUGAUGGCAAGAACUGCAGUGAUGUUGGGAACCGAGGGAUUGAAGAUGGAAACCAAUACUUUGAUGGCAAGAACUGCAGGUAUGUUGGGGACCAAGGGUUUGUUGCUGAGAACAAAGUGUUUGAUGUUGGAAACCAAGGUAUUGAUGGUAAGAACACCAUAGAUGUUGGGAACCAAGAGAUUGAUGCUAGAAAUCAAAGGAUUGUUGUUGGAAACCAAAGGAUUAAUGUUAUAAACCAAGGAAUUAAUGUUGGUGACCAAGAGUUUGGAGCUGAGAACAAAGGGUUAGAAGUUGAAAGCCAAGGCCUUGAUGGCAAGAACACCAAAGAUGUUGGGAACCAAAGAAUUAAUGUUGAGAAUCAAGGGUUCAAAGCUGAAAUCCAGGGGUUUGAGGCUGGAAGCCAAGGUUUUAGUGGGAGGACCACCAUAGAUGUUGUCAAACAUAGUUCUGAUGUUGUUGACAAUUGUAGAGAUGUUCUGAACCAAGGGAUUGUUGGCAAGACUACCAUAGAUAUUGUCAAAAAUAGUUCUGAUGUUGUUGACAAUAGUAGACAGGUUGUGAAUCAAGGGGUAGACGUGGACAAGAGCAGAAAUGAUGUCAUUGACACUGUUAGGGGUGUUUUUCAUGGUGUUGGUGAUGUUGCGAACCAAGACAUUAAUUGGAAGAGCAUCACAGAUAUUGCCAAUCAUAGUUCUGAUGUUGUUGAGAGUGUAAACAGCAUAAGUGAUGUUGCUGAUAGUUGUGAUGCUUAUAAAGACAGAGGUGAUGCUGUGAAUCAAGGAAGUGAUGUCAAGAACAUCAGUGGUGUUGUAGAGCAAAAUAUUGAUGUUAAGAAUAUCAGUGAUGAGACCAGUAAACUUGUUCACCACGGUAGUGAAUGUGUUGAUCAGAGAAGUGAAUUUGUCAGCCAAAACACUGAAAUUGUUCCCCAGGAUGGUGAUGACAUCAGUCAAAGCACUGAUGUAGUGUUUUUGUGAAACAGUGUCAAUCAGAGAUCAGUGAUGUUUUCAAAGAAUGCUUAUAGUUGAAUAGUCUGGACAAGAUAUUCUCGAAAUAGAAGUGUCUACCAUACCAUCUGUGAUGUUGUGGACAGUGUCACUAGGCUAAUAUUAUUUUCAGUCACUUGAGAAUCGGUUGAUGUUUGCAAAGAAUGCAGGAAAUGAUAGUUGAAUAGUCUGGACAAGAUAUUCUCGAAACAGAAGUGUCUACCAUACCAUCUGUGAUUUUGUGGACAUUGUCUCUAGGCUACUAUUAUUGGCAUCCACUACAAAAUCGGGAGGUCAUUGACAAAACAACAUGUAAAGUUUUAAAAUUUGUACUGAGGUAUCUCUAAAUGACAACAAAUCAUAUUUUAGUUGCCUUCUUUCUCAAUGGUUGAGCCCUCAUCAAAUAAUAUACAUUUUCCGUUAUUUUCGAGUCCAAUUCAAUUGUCUUGAACAGCUGACUAAUAUUUUUAAUGUAAUAGAAUAAUAUUAUGUUCAAAUCCACUUGGAAAUCCAAUCUCAAUAAUUAUUGUCUUCAUUAGCUCAAUAAUAUAGAAUAUUCAAGUCCUCCCCAAGAAUAAUUAUUAGGAAAUUGAUGAUCUGAUCUAGAUAUAAUUAUUUUAACAUCUUCCAAGAUCUAGUCUUCAAGUAGUUGAUACUUAGAGUUGAAAUGUCUUGCGCAAAAGCUUUGUUGAUUCUAGAAAUUGAAUAUUGUUAAUCUGUUCGAACUUAUAAAGGCAGAUUGUUUUAAAAUAAUAAAUGUAUUAUAACUUCACGUUAAUUGUAAAUUUAUUAGUGAUUUUUAAUUGGUUGUAUCUUAAUUCAACAGUAUAUCGCUACUUUAUUGUUACUGUUAUUUUCUUUCAAAUUGAUCUGUUAAGGCUGUUCGUUACAUCUUUUUAUUUCUAUAUAAAUUGGAUAAUAUUUUUCAAUAUAAUUGAAAAGUAAUAUAGAUAGAAAAAUUGGCAACUGAAAUUUUUAAGUGGUCUAAUAAGAGAGUUAUGGGUUGUUGAA